GAGUUUGAUCCUGGCUCAGAACGAACGCUGGCGGCGUGCCUAACACAUGCAAGUCGAACGUGAUCCAGAGCUUGCUCUGGUGAAAGUGGCGCACGGGUGAGUAACGCGUGGAUAACCUACCCUGGUAUCCGGGAUAACAUUCCGAAAGGGGUGCUAAUACCGGAUAAGCCCACGGGCUCUUUGGAGCUUGCGGGAAAAGGUGGCCUCUAUUUAUAAGCUACUGUAUCAGGAUGGGUCCGCGUACCAUUAGCUAGUUGGCGGUGUAACGGACCACCAAGGCGACGAUGGUUAGCUGGUCUGAGAGGAUGAUCAGCCGCACUGGAACUGAGACACGGUCCAGACUCCUACGGGAGGCAGCAGUGGGGAAUUUUGCGCAAUGGGGGAAACCCUGACGCAGCAACGCCGCGUGAGUGAUGAAGGCCUUUGGGUCGUAAAGCUCUGUCAGAGGGGAAGAAAUGAUAUAGUGCUAAUACCACUUUAUCUUGACGGUACCCUCAAAGGAAGCACCGGCUAACUCCGUGCCAGCAGCCGCGGUAAUAC
rnacentral:rRNA from 1 species